ensembl:lncRNA novel transcript
ACCCGCACACAGACGGUUGGCAGAGGAAGAAAGCCUUGUCACACUAAAGGAGAGACAGCGGAUGUUCUGAACAGUCCUGUCGUGAAACGUUAGACAACGUGGACGAAACAGGCACAUUCCUAAGCAUCACACAUUACUGAAACUCAGUCAAGAAGAAAUAGAAAAUCUGAAUACAUCCAUGGCAAGCACAGAAACUGAACUAGGGGAUUCGAAAUCUUCCCACAAAGAAAAGCCUAGGCCCAACUGGCCUCUAUGAUACAGCAAGAAGGUGCCAUCUAUGAAGGAGAAGACAAGCCCUCACCAGACACCAAAUCUGCUGAUGCUUUGAUCUUGGACUUCCCAGCCUCCAGAACUACUAUCGAUUUACAGCAAUGGAUUGGUCAAGGAAGGAUAAAGAAACUUGGAAAGAACUAUCAUGAUACCUGCCCUGAGAAGCCAAAAUUUGGUUUAACUUUGUGUUGUUUACUGUUUGGUUCUAUAAAAGCUAAGUUUAUAAAAUAUUGUAUGACAGGUGAAUUUAAAUGUUACUAACCAUCUUGGAUGUCCUGCUCUUCUGCUGUACAGCAAUAAAGUCUCUCUAAAUGCAA